AGGUAGAUUUUACUUAUGGCUAGUAACACUACUGUCACUUGCCAGUUUGUCCUGUUGGAAUUGACUGACUACAUACUGUACAUUUAAAUAGUUUAGGCCUGUUUUGUCCGGCUAUCUCCACUAAUCUAAACUAUUUUGUCUCAUUGUAACUGAUAAGCCAUUAACAUUCAAUAACAUGUUAAAACACUGAAAACACAAGGUAAGCAAAAAUAUAGUCUAAAAUUAUAAAACCAUUACCUUUUGAACUUUCAGCUAAUCAUAUGAAAUAUCACAUUAAAAGGUAAAUCAGAUAACAACCAUAAAGAUAACUCAGUACUUGUGUAGUAUUUUUUUUUAAUUAUUAUUACUUUACAAAAUACCUUUUUACUUCUACUUUAAGUAAUAGCAAUAGCAGUACUGUUACUUGUGUACAUGUUUUGCAUCUUCUAGUCUUCCAGUGUUUAGUCCCCUCUACAGUUUGAAAAGAAAAAACUAAUCUGAAUCUGUUUCUGUUCUAUUACAACAGAUAAAAAGCAUGGAUUUGGCGGGACACAAGUGCAGUGUAUGUGGCAGUAGUUUCUCUGUGAAGUCCAACCUGACUCGGCACAUGCAGCUUCAUGGUCCAAAGGAACAUGUGUGUGAAGUGUGUGGGAAAAGCUUCUCACUGAAACAGCAGCUGAGCAGCUACAUGUUUUGCAUCUUCUAGUCUUCCAGUGUUUAGUCCCCUCUACAGUUUGAAAAGAAAAAACUAAUCUGAAUCUGUUUCUGUUCUAUUACAACAGAUAAAAAGCAUGGAUUUGGCGGGACACAAGUGCAGUGUAUGUGGCAGUAGUCUCUCUGUGAAGUCCAACCUGACUCGGCACAUGCAGCUUCAUGGUCCAAAGGAACAUGUGUGUGAAGUGUGUGGGAAAAGCUUCUCACUGAAACAGCAGCUGAGCAGCCACCAAAAACAGCACCUGUACCCAUGCAUCCGUCUCUACAAGCAGGGAGAAGCCAAGCUGCAGUGUACGGAUGCAGCUAAGAGUGUGGCAAUGGCCCCCAGCAAAGAGGUAGACCCCAGCUGUCUGGAUUCUGAAAAGGCGGAGGCUGCUGCAAAGAAAGCUGGACGGGAAAUGUGGAAAGGCCAGCUAGUUGUCACAUUCGGCAAAUAUGCAGGACACUCUUUCAGGUGGCUGCUUGAAAAUGAUGUGGGCUGGGUCAUAUGGCUGCUGUCUGAAUAUUGCCAGAAGGGUGAGAAGAACGAUCUCCUAAACGAUUGCUGCAGUAUGCCAGAGAGUUCCCGCCUGUCACCUUUCAUCUUGACAAACGCUUGGAGGAGUCAAGGAAAGACAAAGGAAAGAAGGCUGAAUCUACCCUUUCUAAGUU
rnacentral:lncRNA from 1 species